GCAUAGAAGUAAAAAAUUUACAUUUAGUUUCGACCUAAAAUUAGGAAUAAAUUUCCCAUGUU
rnacentral:tRNA from 1 species